GCCCUGAUAGUAUAGUCCGGUUUGGCACCAUGCGCGGGUGGCCCGGUGGACGCGGGUUCAAAUCCCGCUCAGGGCGCCA
rnacentral:tRNA from 1 species